rnacentral:rRNA from 1 species
ACCUACGGGACGCAGCAGUGGGGAAUAUUGCACAAUGGGGGAAACCCUGAUGCAGCGACGCCGCGUGAAGGAAGACGGUUUUCGGAUUGUAAACUUCUGUUCUUAGUGAAGAAAAAUGACGGUAGCUAAGGAGCAAGCCACGGCUAACUACGUGCCAGCAGCCGCGGUAAUACGUAGGUGGCAAGCGUUGUCCGGAAUUACUGGGUGUAAAGGGAGCGCAGGCGGGAAGCCAAGUCAGCUGUGAAAACUACGGGCUUAACUUGUAGACUGCAGUUGAAACUGGUUUUCUUGAGUGAAGUAGAGGU